rnacentral:rRNA from 1 species
CCAGACUCCUACGGGAGGCAGCAGUGGGGAAUAUUGCACAAUGGGGGAAACCCUGAUGCAGCGACGCCGCGUGAGUGAAGAAGUAUUUCGGUAUGUAAAGCUCUAUCAGCAGGGAAGAAAUAGCGACCUUUGGGUCGCCAGACGGUACCUGAUUAAGAAGCCCCGGCUAACUACGUGCCAGCAGCCGCGGUAAUACGUAGGGGGCAAGCGUUAUCCGGAAUGACUGGGCGUAAAGGGUGCGUAGGUGGUUUGACAAGUUGGUAGCGUAACUCCGAGGCUUAACCUCGGCACUACUACCAAAACUGUUGGACUCGAGUGCAGGAGGUGCAAAUGGAAUUCCUAGUGUAGCGGUGGAAUGCGUAGAUAUUAGGAGGAACACCAGUGGCGAAGGCGAUUUGCUGGACUGUAACUGACACUGAGGCACGAAAGCGUGGGGAGCAAACAGGAUUAGAUACCCCGGUAACC